UACGGAGGGUGCGAGCGUUGUCCGGAAUCAUUGGGCGUAAAGGGCGCGUAGGUGGCGCGGUCAGUUCGUGGUGAAAGCGCGGGGCUCAACCCCGCGUCGGCCAUGAAUACUGCUGGGCUGGAGCACUGUAGAGGCAGGCGGAAUUCCCGGUGUAGCGGUGAAAUGCGCAGGAUAUCGGGAGGAACACCGGUGGCGAAGGCGGUU
rnacentral:rRNA from 1 species